UAGAGGAAGUAAAAGUCGUAACAAGGUUUCCGUAGGUGAACCUGCGGAAGGAUCAUUAUCGAAAGCUUCGGCUUUUUGUUAUUCCUUGACCCAUAUGUUGACUUAGCCUUUGUUGCUUCCGUCGGCCGACGUGCCUACCUUAGUGUGGCGGUCGACGGAGGGAUUUUUGGAACUAGUAUGUUUAGAUGCUCUUAGUCUGAAAUUGUUGAGAAAUGAAAUUCUCAAAAAGAAAACUUUCAACAACGGAUCUCUUGGCUCCUGCAUCGAUGAAGAACGCAGCGAAAUGCGAUAAGUAAUGUGAAUUGCAGAAUUCAGCGAAUCAUCGAGUCUUUGAACGCACAUUGCGCCCUAUGGCCAUUCCGUAGGGCAUGCCCGUCUCAGCGUCAGCAGAAACCUUCAGGCCAGACUUUGGAUGUCAGGCCUGGAUUUUGUCAGAGAGGCAGAUGGCGAUAGCUCAUCUGCCCUUUGUAAAGCGAUGGAUAUUUUGGAGAUUGUUUCAUCCCAACGUGAUAAGGAAUUUUCAUUCGUUGGUAUGGGCAGAUAAGAAUCUUCAAAUGUUUGCAAAAUACCCACAUGCUUUCUAAGAGCCUGACCUGAGAUCGG
rnacentral:rRNA from 1 species